rnacentral:rRNA from 1 species
UACGAAGGGGGCUAGCGUUGUUCGGAAUUACUGGGCGUAAAGCGCGCGCAGGCGGUCUUUCAAGUCAGUGGUGAAAGCCUGGAGCUCAACUCCAGAACUGCCAUUGAAACUGCAAGACUUGAGUACGAGAGAGGUGAGUGGAAUUCCCAGUGUAGAGGUGAAAUUCGUAGAUAUUGGGAAGAACACCGGUGGCGAAGGCGGCUCACUGGCUCGUAACUGACGCUCAGGCGCGACAGCGUGGGGGAUCAAACAGG